UCCAACUUGACGCAUGUCUUUGUUGGGAAAGUGUUUAGUGGCAUGGGAUGGGGUCGCGUCCUAUCAGCUUGUAGCGGGGUAAUGGCCCCCACCCUAGGCUUCGACGGGUAGCCGGCCUGAGAGGGCGGACGGCCACAUUGGGACUGAGAUACGGCCCAGACUCCUACGGGGAGGCAGCAGUGGGGAAUAUUGCGCAAUGGGGGAAACCCUGACGCAGCGACGCCGCGUGCGGGAUGAAGGCCUUCGGGUUGUAAACCGCUUUUGAUUGGGAGCAAGCCUUUUGGGUGAGUGUACCUUUCGAAUAAGCGCCGGCUAACUACGUGCCAGCAGCCGCGGUAAU
rnacentral:rRNA from 1 species